UGAAAUCGCUCUCUUCAUUGCGACAGUUCAGCGGCGAGUGCCUUACGGCAACAUUAACCAGCACACUCCUGCCCUGUCUGUCAUCUCCAGGUGCAGCCUUAGUGCAUGGAAGCACCCCCCUAUCAGCAGAUGUUAAGGCCACAUGCACCUCGCUGCGCCCAGGGAAGGCCCUCCAAGCCUCUGAGUUGUGAAAAGAAAUGAAAAACAAACAAACAAACAAACAAACAAGACAAUUGUGAAAAACCCCCAAAACAAAACGUGAUAUACAGACUACUGAAAACAAUGGCAACUGUAAGACGAUGACCGAUUUUCACGUACGGAUCCUAAAAACAAAUAUGUAUAUAUACGGUAUGUUUACUUUUGUUUCCACACAGAAGAAGUGAAUGUUGUACUCCUGACGAUAAUGUGCUCCUUGCAAGUGUUUGUUUUCCAACACAGUAAAAGUGUUCAUGGUAUUUGCAACAAAAACAA